GAAUUUGCAUGUGAGUUAUCAGAGUUCAACUUGGAAGCAUUGGUGGGCCUUGUGCUACCAAGGUGACAAGAAACUAAGAUUGAACAAGUUUAAUCCAUGUAAGGCUGAAUUUGUCACUAACCUUAUCUUGUGAUUAUGGUUUUGACAAAUUCACAUGGAUAGGAACUCAUACACUAUAAAAUCUAAGUGUCAUAAGGUUUCUCUCCGAUUCAUGAAAAUGAUGGUGAGGAAACGCUUUCACUAAGUAGAUUUUACGUAGAUAUCAAUUGUGUUAUUUGCAUUUUCAAAAGUCGUUAGUGGAGCGCGUGUGGUUCACCGGCACACUAACAUGGACUUGUGAGAAAUGGCAAAUGCCUAAGCAAUUGAGACUAUGAUUACGGCAUCCCUUUUCAUAGUUCUGAAAAUUGUUUAGACACACAUGUGAGCUAUCUAAGAAAGGGUGUAUGAAUCUAAAUUUCAGAAGUCCAGCAGAUUUCUGGAAAUAUGUCAGAGCUAGUGGGAGCAUAAGUGUUAUGCUGAUAAUCAUCAUGUUAGUGGGAGCAUGAUUAUUACGUUUAGUGUUGCAAGUUAGCUGUUGGGUCAAAAAUAUGGUUUAUACUUUACUUUUCUUGACAAUUAUUUUUAUGUAAUAUUAUAUUAAUUUAUGGUCUAGUUUACGGCGGAGUUUACGGCCGUAAACUCCUUACGGCCGUAAACUAAUUUACGACCCAUUUGUUUCCGGCUCAUAUCCAACAUGUAUAAAUAGAGGUGUUAGGGUGAGGAGUAGAGAUUGAGGAUUGAUGAACCCUAAGGAGUUUACGGCCAGAGAGGAGAGAAACGGGAGCUUUAUGUGUGUGUGAAUCUCUUGUAUCCGGAUUUUUAUUCAUUUCAUUAAUACAAUCGAGAUUCAUCUUUUUCUUAUUCUCAUUCUCUUUUAUUUUAUCUGAUAUCAUCCGUUUGAUUGGGAUUCCGUACCAUCAAACGGAUUUGACUGAUACACAAGCAGAUUAGGGACUUACAAUUGGUAUCAGAGCCAAGUUGUAUCAGUCAAAAGGAUUAUUGUUUCGUCUGGAAUCUGAAUAAUUGGUGUUUACGGUCCAAGCUUACGGCCGUAAACUCCGAGUUCUUGGGCCGUAAACUCUAUUUGGAGCAUUAUUUGAUCUUAUUUUCGAAAUAUUUUUGCGUUUUUGGAUAGAUCUCGCAAAAACAAAGGGGGUUUAUUUUUCGUGUUUUUCAUAAAAAGGGGUUUUUGAUCGAGUUUUGGAGCUUCAAAGUCGAAAAAUCGCUGUUUUUCACGUAAUCUUGAAGGGUUUUCGGCCGGAGCUUACUGCCGGAAACAGUUCACAGCCGGAAACAGUUCAUGGCCGGCGGCGGACUCGUGUUUGCGGCUAGGGUUUCCGGAGUUUACGGCUCAGCUCGGUAGAUCGGCUCGGACGUGGCGGCUCGCGAUUUCGGUUCGGCUUGGAUCGCUGCUUGAAGAAUCGGCUCCGCUCAGCUCAAUGGAUUGCGGCUCCUGCGUGCACUUCAUAAAAAUAAGAAGCGACUUUGCAGCAGACAGGAAUCGAUCCCAACACCUCAUCUUCAACAACCAGCGCCUUAACCAUCUCCUCUAGAAGAUAAAUUGUUACAUUCCUUCGAAAGUCAAAAUAUAACCCGUCUUUUUCGCACCAAAUUUUGAAUUUUGACACUUUUAACCCAAAAACUCAUUUUCUUUUUAUUUUAAAUUCCUUUUUCAUUCACAAAAUAAUAAAAAAAAAAGAUAAUUAUAUAAAUAAAUUAAUUAAUUAAAUAAUAAUAAUAAUAAUAAUAAAAAUUGUUUUAUUUUUUAUUUUUGUUUUUGACUUUUUAUUUAAAAUUUUGAUUUUGUCUUUUGAAGUUUGACCUUUGUUUCUAAACUUUGACUUUUUCGUUUAACCUUUAAAAUUUCAAAUUUAACUUUUCGGUUAGACUUUUAAGUUUGACUUUUCAAGUUUGACUUUUUAAAAUUUGACUUUCAAGGUUGACCUUUGACUUUAAAAUUUUGACUUUGACUUUCAAGUUUGACCUUUGACUUUAAGCUUUGACUUUCACAUUUGACUUUUAAAUUUUCAAAUUUAGCUUUUCAGUUUGACUUUUGAGUUUAAUUUUUUUAAAUUUUGACUUUCAAGGUUGAUUUAAAAAAAAAGGGCAUUUUAGGUUUGACGUUUAAAUUUUUUUUUUAAUCGAUUUUAAGGUCUACGAGGGAAUUUGAAAACAUGAAAGAGAGUCGUCAGGAUAUCUUAAGACAAAAUUUCAACAUGUUCGAUUAUGUCCCUAGAGAAACGCUCGAAACUCAAUUGCAGAGAUUUACUACACUCACUACUGAGAUGAAUAUAGCCGGGAUCUUCUUGUCCAAAUCAGAUAUAAACAAAAAGCUGCUAAAUUCACUUCCGAAAUCGUGGGAUAUGAACGUAGCUGUCAUCAAGAAGACAAAAGAUCUCAAUCGUCUUAGUAUUGCUGAAGUAAUUGAAGAGCUUGACACUUUAAAGAGUUCUGUAAACCUUCCGGUCAAUGAAGUGUCAUGUGCUCAUUCAUGUGAAGUUUCAUCUUCUCAAUCAUGUGAAGAUACAAUUAAAUUUCUUCAAGAACAAAUUGAUGUAUUUAAAAGAGAAGUUGAGGACCUGAGAUAUGAAGGAUAUCAACUCAGGAAAGGACAGAAACCCCUGAAGGCUGAAUUAGAAGCAAAAACCAAGGACUUUAGGAAACUUCAGGAAGACUACAGUAACAAAUGUGAAAACUAUGAUUAUGUAGUCAAACAAAAUGCUGAGCUAGUGGCUGAAGUUGAAUCUUUGAAAGGAAAGUUUGAAACCGCCAAACUUGAUGUUAGAAAAUAUGAUUUCUCAAGUGAGGUGGUUGCAAAUAUGAUAGACCAAAGCAUGCAGUUUAAAAGGAAUCAAAACAAGGGUCUAGGGUAUGAUAGUGUACCUCCUCCUUACAAUCAUAACUACACAUCCAUCCCUAUGAAACAAGAAGAAAUUGACAGGGAGGCACAUCUUAAAUACGGAAAACCAGCUGGAUUUGUGUCAGGAGGGGUUAUUAAUGUUGAAAAUAUUGAUGUUUCUGUUACAUGUGCAGGUAAAGUAGCAGAGGAUGAGAACAAGGAGAGUUCUUCUGAACAAACCAACAACCCCUUGAACUCUGAAUCUGCUGCUUCUGCUCAACCUGUCGUUGGUAAAUACAGGCCUCCAAUUCCAACGCAACAGAGUACUUGUUGCAAGUAUGCAUGUGGGAACAACAAGAAACAAGGCAAGGAUACGCCACCAGGUGCAAGAAUAAAUAACUUCACAGUGAAGAAAAAGACAUGUUUUCACUGUGGAACACCUGGACACAUUGCCAGAAAUUGUCCUAAUCGCACGUACGUUCCCUACUACGCACAANUGCGCAAGGCUGGCAGAACGCGCCAAGAGGGAGAUACUCCAAAAGAAACCCCUCAAGGUCACGUUCAGACAUUGACGACUGGAAUGCCAAGAAGGCCAAGAAUAUAACUCCCAAGGUCAAGAAUCAAACUUCAAAGGACAAGCAUCCGAAUCCCAAGGGCAAGAAGGAAAUGUCAGCCAACAAGCCCAGUUCAAGAGAUGCUCCUGUGAAGCCAAGAUCGGUUAGGUCAAAGUCAUCUCGGCAGUCGGCUUCAAGUUCCAAAUCAAGUACUGAGCCACCCAUCAGAUCGAAAGAGGAAUGGGUUAAACCCAACUACAAAUGGGUUCCGAAGGCUCAAUCUCCCAAAUCAACUAACGAUUCUAAUAUUUCUAUGUCUUCUGUUUGUGAUAAGCAGGACAUGUCAUGGGAGAGAGUACCGUACAAGGAUGAAAAAGGUCGACCCAGUUUCAAAAUGGACUGGGUUCCAAAGACCAACUAAUCCCGCUAUGUGUCGGAGCAGCUAUGGAGGCAUAUCAUCAGACUUUGUUUGUUGGUAGUGGCUGCUCCUGGCAUAUGAUAGGGGACAUCUCUCAAGUGUACAACAUUCAGACUUUUGUUUGAGAGUAUGUGUCCUUUUGCGGGAAACGAAGAAAAGAAGGGAUCACAUGGGGUUAGUGCCUAAUGAUAUGAAGAAUUUUCGGAUCUGUUCUGAGAUUAUGCGUGCUGUUCUCAAACCUUCUGAAUGCAGAUUCAAUCGGUGAAUUACGCUUUGCAUUUUCUUCUCUAAUACUCCUAAGUUUUUCUUAAGCUGACUCACUUUAAAGACUAAUUUUUGUUUUAGGAUAGUUUAAAUUUGCGCAUUAACUUUCGUUUCUCUCCUAUGCACAAAUUUAGGGGGAGAAAUAAAAACAAAAGAAUAAAAUUAAAAAACUUUAAAAAAUCCAAAAACAUCAGAAAAUCAGAAAAUAUAUAUAAAUAUAUAUUGGUUAUGAAAUGUGUUUAAGGGAGAUGUUUUGGGAAGUGAUAUUAUCAAGUGAUAACAGGUAAUCUGAGUUUGCGUAACGUACCCAAAGUUGAAGGGUCUAUGCUCUGACUUGAUGUGUCGGUAGGCAUGAAAAUUUUUAAAAUGGACAUGACUAGGCAGAGUUGAACUUAGAAAAUUUAUAGACUUGACAAAUCUUGACCUAGUUAGAUCCAUUCAGCCUGACAAUACGACGCUCAGAUAGGUUGAGCAGGGAGAUAUAUAUGGGAAUCUACUCGUCACAUUAAUUGAACCCGUACUUGGAACUGUGGUUUAACUUUUCCUCGAUGCGCGGAUUCUGUCCUUAAUUCUGGUUGGAUGGGGCGACUGGUAAAUUCCGAUAAAUUAGGUCUGUAGAAUAUCAUUUUCUUUCUUUCCGUCUGUUAGUCAUAUGUUGUCUCCUUUGCGUGACUUCCAAUCCGACCUGGUACACAACAUAUGCAACUCUAUUUCUCUGCAGGAUAUAUAUAUGUGUGAAAUACUUCUCAUCUGUUAGCCAUAUGAUGUCUCCUUUGUGCGACUUCUAAUCCGACCUGGUACACAGCAUAUGUAACCUUCUUCUUCUCAACCCCUCUGAAGUAGUUAGCAAUAGAAUUCUGAAUCUCUUCUCUCUCUGAAUGGUUGUCUGCUCACCCGGUGUAAGGAGUACUCUAGAAGUUCUUGAUGGCUGGGGCAUAUCAGGAAGCGGGAAACACGUUCCAGUACAAUUAAAAUUGAACACUCAAAGAUUGUCUAUAGAUCUCGUUGCUCAAUUUAGGUGGACAACAAUAUCCCUGGUCGUCGUUAGAUGAAUGGUCCUUAAGAUAUAGUAUCUAAGGAAUUAGGAUCAGAUAUAAUUUUUAGGAACUUAAGUUCACCUUGUCUUGUAACAAAUAGUAUGUCCUAAAUCUGUCACAAUUUUUCGUGUUUAAGUGGACAACAAUACCGACGAUCGACCAGACAAAGAUGUGAAUAUGAAAGGUACCGACAAGUGGAUAAAGGCUGUCUAAAAACUUUGAUCCCAAAUCACUCUUAAAGUUAGAUAUCAUUUUUAUUUUUGUUAAAUUUGUCAUAGUUUCUUCUAAUUUAAAUAUUAGGGGAGAAUUAAAAAUUAAAAAUAAUGAAAAUAAAAAAAAAAAAAAAAAAAUUAAAAAAAACAAGGAAAAAUAAAAAUAAAAAAAUUCAAAAUCCAAAAAUAGUGUUAUUUCUGUUUUAUUUCUUGUUCAGAAAAAUCAAAAAUCCAAAAAUAUUUUUGUUUCUGUUUUAAUUUGUGUGCUAAGUUUUCUUUUAGUUUUGUUUUUUCUUGAAAAGUGAUUUCAGGUAUAGAUAAGACUCAUGGAGUUUGUGUUGAAGAUUUCUGAGCCAAAGGCUUCGUCCGUGAGAAUCGAAGAAUUCGUAUUCGAAGGAGCAAGAAAUGAAGAUUAUUCUUUCAACAUUCAAUCCUUCAACCCCAGAAGCAAGGUGAAGCUGCAAUUAAAGAUUAUGUGACGGAUUGCAUUGAAGCCUCCUCAAUCGGUCUGCUGCUAUUGUUGUACCUGCUGAAGUGAUCUAGAAGAUUUUUUCUCUCUGAUGUUCUCUCUGAAGAUUCUCAAGCUGAAAGCACUAUCUUUCAAGAAUCAGUAUGUAAAGCCUCCUCACUCGACGUGCGUUCAAAGCCAAAUUCUGAAGAAAUGCCCAACCGCUCAAGAUGAAGUCAUUCAUUGAAGAUUCAUCAAGUUCAUCUUGAAGUCAUGAAGAAUGUGAAGAUUAAUGCUGAAGCCAAGUUCCCAAUGAAGAUUGACAAGAAGAGCCAUCUGCUUUUAAGGGGGAGCUUGUUGGGUCAUUAAGAAAAGAAAGCUAUAAACCAAGGGGGAGAUUGUUGGGUUAAAAAUAUGGUUUAUACUUUACUUUUCUAGGCAAUUAUUUUUAUGUAAUAAUAUAUUAAUUUAUGGUCUAGUUUACGGCGGAGUUUACGACCGUAAACUCCUUACGGCCGUAAACUCAUUUACGGCCCAUUUGUUUCCGGCCGAUAUCCAACAUGUAUAAAUAGAGGUGUUAGGGUGAGGAGUAGAGAUUGAGGAUUGAUGAACCCUAAGGAGUUUACGGCCAGAGAUGAGAGAAACGGGAGCUUUAUGUGUGUGUGAAUCUCUUGUAUCCGGAUUUUAAUUCAUAUCAUUAAUACAAUCGAGAUUCAUCUUUUUCUUAUUCUCAUUAUCUUUUAUUUUAUCUGAUAUCAUCCGUUUGAUUAGGAUUCCGCACCAUCAAACGGAUUUGACUGAUACACGGGCAAAUUAGGGACUUACAUUAGCAAUGUUAAUUAUAGAAAACAAAGUUUCAAUUCGUGAAGUUGCAGGGGUUGAAAAGUUGUUUUGCUAUAAUUAAGGGAGAGGAAAUUAUACUUCGUUUCAAUUCUAAAGCUUAGAUUGAGAUUUUAAUCAUCUUUAGUGAAGAAUAUAUAUGUGAAUUUUAUGUUGGAAUGGUUCAAACUUGAAGAAAUUCUAUAUAUAUUGCGUUUUCAAAAUUCGAUUAUGAAUUACGGCAUCCCUCUUCAUAGUUAAAUUUUGAAAAC
rnacentral:lncRNA from 1 species